rnacentral:rRNA from 1 species
CGGCAACAGCUCAAAUUUGAAAUCUGGCCUUUGGCCCGAGUUGUAAUUUGUAGAGGAUGCUUUUGGUGCGGUGCCUUCCGAGUUCCCUGGAACGGGACGCCUUAGAGGGUGAGAGCCCCGUACGGU